rnacentral:lncRNA from 1 species
CAACUCUAGAACUCCUCCAUCUAGGUUUUUUCACUACCUCCCCUAUUACCUCAUCACUUGUAUUUUUCUCAAUCUCCACACUUAUUCCUUUUUCAACUUCACCAUUCUGUUCGUUAUUUUCAACUUCUUCCUUCUCAUUCCACUCCCCCACUUCACCAUCAAUAUUUUCCUCAACUAUUUCCUCCUCAUUUGCUCUCUCAACUCUUUUUUUAUUCUCACUCAUCAAUU